rnacentral:rRNA from 1 species
GUNUGAUCNUGGCUCAGAUUGAACGCUGGCGGCAGCCNUAACACAUGCAAGUCGAGCGGUAGCACAGAGAGCUUGCUCUCGGGUGACGAGCGGCGGACGGGUGAGUAAUGUNUGGGAAANUGCCUGAUGGAGGGGGAUAACUACUGGAAACGGUAGCUAAUACCGCAUAAUGUCGCAAGACCAAAGAGGGGGUCCUUCGGGCCUCUUGCCAUCAGAUGUGCCCAGAUGGGAUUAGCUAGUAGGUGGGGUAACGGCUCACCUAGGCGACGAUCCCUAGCUGGUCUGAGAGGAUGACCAGCCACACUGGAACUGAGACACGGUCCAGACUCCUACGGGAGGCAGCAGUGGGGAAUAUUGCACAAUGGGCGCAAGCCUGAUGCAGCCAUGCCGCGUGUAUGAAGAAGGCCUUCGGGUUGUAAAGUACUUUCAGCGGGGAGGAAGGUGUUGUGGUUAAUAACCNCAGCAAUUGACGUUACCCGCAGAAGAAGCACCGGCUAACUCCGUGCCAGCAGCCGCGGUAAUACGGAGGGUGCAAGCGUUAAUCGGAAUUACUGGGCGUAAAGCGCACGCAGGCGGUCUGUCAAGUCGGAUGUGAAAUCCCCGGGCUCAACCUGGGAACUGCAUUCGAAACUGGCAGGCUAGAGUCUUGUAGAGGGGGGUAGAAUUCCAGGUGUAGCGGUGAAAUGCGUAGAGAUCUGGAGGAAUACCGGUGGCGAAGGCGGCCCCC